rnacentral:rRNA from 1 species
ACACAUGCAAGUCGAGCGAUGAAGUUCCUUCGGGAAACGGAUUAGCGGCGGACGGGUGAGUAACACGUGGGUAACCUGCCUCAUAGAGUGGAAUAGCCUUCCGAAAGGAAGAUUAAUACCGCAUAACGUUGAAAGAUGGCAUCAUCAUUCAACCAAAGGAGCAAUCCGCUAUGAGAUGGACCCGCGGCGCAUUAGCUAGUUGGUGGGGUAACGGCCUACCAAGGCGACGAUGCGUAGCCGACCUGAGAGGGUGAUCGGCCACAUUGGGACUGAGACACGGCCCAGACUCCUACGGGAGGCAGCAGUGGGGAAUAUUGCACAAUGGGGGAAACCCUGAUGCAGCAACGCCGCGUGAGUGAUGAAGGUUUUCGGAUCGUAAAGCUCUGUCUUUGGGGAAGAUAAUGACGGUACCCAAGGAGGAAGCCACGGCUAACUACGUGCCAGCAGCCGCGGUAAUACGUAGGUGGCGAGCGUUAUCCGGAUUUACUGGGCGUAAAGGGAGCGUAGGCGGAUGAUUAAGUGGGAUGUGAAAUACCCGGGCUCAACUUGGGUGCUGCAUUCCAAACUGGUUAUCUAGAGUGCAGGAGAGGAGAGUGGAAUUCCUAGUGUAGCGGUGAAAUGCGUAGAGAUUAGGAAGAACACCAGUGGCGAAGGCGACUCUCUGG